AGAGGUGAAGGGUGUGCUGGCAGGUUUCGAUGAUUUGAUACCCGGGUUUGGUGGUAAUGUGUUUUGGAUUUAAUUUUGUGCGCAGGAAAACUUUGAAAACACAUCUUUAAGCAACCAUAGAGGCCUUGCAAAUGAAGUGUCAGGAUAGAACUAUUAGAAGCAUUUGGGUGCUGUCGAAAGUUUAUGAAUAGAGUGUUGGGACUUCUUGUCCACUAUGCAAGGGAAGAAAUUCAAAAAAGGGAGGAGGACAUCCAAAAUAGAGUGUUGGGAUUUCUUAAUGAUCGGGAUGAGCUUCAACGUCAACUGUGUAACUAUGUGUAUUGGAGACUUUCAAUUCAAAUUUCAUGUUGUUGGAUAGGAUAAAAAACUGUGUAACUUUGUUCAGGUUGUAAUAGGUUUAGAACCUUUAUCACUCUUGUAAUAUUCAAACCUAACAACUAUUUAUGAAACUCUCAGAACCUGUAAUACUUAUUUAAUAUAAUGGUAAGUGUUAUGUUUUCAGACA